CCUACGGGUGACAGCAGUGAGGAAUAUUGGUCAAUGGGAGAGAUCCUGAACCAGCCAAGCCGCGUGAGGGAAGACGGCCCUAUGGGUUGUAAACCUCUUUUGUCGGAGAACAAAACCCGGGACGUGUCCCGGACUGCGUGUAUCCGAAGAAAAAGCAUCGGCUAACUCCGUGCCAGCAGCCGCGGUAAUACGGAGGAUGCGAGCGUUAUCCGGAUUUAUUGGGGUUAAAGGGUGCGUAGGCGGUCCGUUAAGUCAGCGGGAAAAUUGCGGGGCUCAACCCCGUCGAGCCGUUGAAACUGGCAGACUUGAGUUGGCGAGAAGUACGCGGAAUGCGCGGUGUAGCGGUGAAAUGCAUAGAUAUCGCGCAGAACUCCGAUUGCGAAGGCAGCGUACCGGCGCCAGACUGACGCUGAGGCACGAAAGCGUGGGGAUCGAACAGGAUUAGAUACCCCUGUAGUC
rnacentral:rRNA from 1 species